rnacentral:ncRNA from 1 species
UCCGGGUAACCCGCUGAACCUCCUUCGUGCUUAGGGAUCGUGGCUUGCAAUUUUUCCACGUGAACGAGGAAUUCCCAGUAAGCGCGAGUCAUCAGCUCGCGUUGAUUACGUCCCUGCCCUUUGUACACACCGCCCGUCGCUACUACCGAUUGAACGGUCGCAUUGAGGUCUUCGGAGUGGACGCGCGUUAUUCGGCCCCCUCGGGGGCUGGGUCGUCGCGCGAUCGCGAAGAUGACCGAAAUCGGCCGUUUAGAGGAAGUAAAAGUCGUAACAAGGUUUCCGUAGGUGAACCUGCGGAAGGAUCAUUA